GACGAACGCUGGCGGCGUGCUUAACACAUGCAAGUCGAACGGUGAAAGCGGAGCUUGCUCCGCUGGAUCAGUGGCGAACGGGUGAGUAACACGUGGGCAACCUGCCCCUCACUUCGGAAUAACUCCGGGAAACCGGGGCUAAUACCGGAUAUGACUUCCUUGUGCAUCCUUGGAGGUGGAAAGGUUUUCGGUGAGGGAUGGGCACGCGGCCUAUCAGCUUGUUGGUGAGGUAGUGGCCCACCAAGGCGACGACGGGUAGCCGGCCUGAGAGGGCGAACGGCCACACUGGGACUGAGACACGGCCCAGACUCCUACGGGAGGCAGCAGUGGGGAAUAUGGCGCAAUGGGCGAAAGCCUGACGCAGCAACGCCGCGUGAGGGAUGGCGGCCUUCGGGUUGUAAACCUCUUUUAGCAGGGAAGAAGCGAAAGUGACGGUACCUGCAGAAAAAGCACCGGCUAACUACGUGCCAGCCGCCGCAGUAA
rnacentral:rRNA from 1 species